rnacentral:rRNA from 1 species
CGCUGGCGGCGUGCUUAACACAUGCAAGUCGAACGGAGCACCCUUGAUUGAGGUUUCGGCCAAAUGAUAGGAAUGCUUAGUGGCGGACUGGUGAGUAACGCGUGAGGAACCUGCCUUUCAGAGGGGGACAACAGUUGGAAACGACUGCUAAUACCGCAUGACGCAUUUUGAUCGCAUGGUCGAAAUGCCAAAGAUUUAUCGCUGAAAGAUGGCCUCGCGUCUGAUUAGCUAGUUGGUGAGGUAACGGCCCACCAAGGCGACGAUCAGUAGCCGGACUGAGAGGUUGACCGGCCACAUUGGGACUGAGAUACGGCCCAGACUCCUACGGGAGGCAGCAGUGGGGAAUAUUGGGCAAUGGGCGCAAGCCUGACCCAGCAACGCCGCGUGAAGGAAGAAGGCUUUCGGGUUGUAAACUUCUUUUAAGUGGGAAGAGUAGAAGACGGUACCACUUGAAUAAGCCACGGCUAACUACGUG